GGGAGCUGUCCGAGAGGAGCCGCUCUCCACGGCGGCGGCGGCCGGGCCGAGCCGGGCCAAACCGAGCCGGGCCGAGCCGGGCCGGGCCGGGCCUCACCUCACCUUGCAGUUCCUUGCGCUCGCUCUGCCGGGCCUGAUGCUCCUUCAGCAGCCGCGACAGCAUGGCGGCAGCCGGCACCGGCGCCGGGCCGCGGCGCCGCUGCCACGUGACCGCCCACGUGACCCCCCCCGCCCCGCCCCGCCCCGGCUAUGGGGUCCCGGGGGGGCCAGAAAAGUUCUGGGCGCUCGGCCGGGGGGGGGUGGGGAGCCGAGGGGGCUGUAGGCGCCUGGCUAGCAGGCUGUGGGGAGCAGAGAGGCCCCAGAGGGCCGUAGGGGCCCAAGGAGGGCUGCAGGAGCCUCCUGGGCGUGUGACCACUGGAGCAACCCGCUCUGCAGGAGAACAGGGAUUCCCAGGCUCUCCACCUCCUUCGCCCCUGGAGUGGGACUGAGGUUUUGUCUGACUCUCCUGCACACAAGUAAUGUGGAAUUGCCCUUAGCAGGCUUCUCGAUGUCAGGCUUGGGUGAGCUGGAUAAUGAAUAGCACUGGCAGAAGGAGAAAUGAAGUGGCAGAGGAUGGGGGGAGAGCCUGCCAGGCACUGAAGCUGUGAGUGUUAGCCAGCCAAGUGCACUAUGGAAAUUAAAUUGGACUGCAGAGCACUCCGGCACUGCGUCGUGACAGAAGACUUCUCCCACCCACAGGAGCUCCAGCACAAAGCCUUGCUGGCUGAACUGCGCCGACCCGGUGCCUGCCCUUCCUUCCACAGGAAUGAAGCAGUGAACGUCAAGGGCCUGUGAAGGAGCUUUGCUGGUAACAGUUAGCGCCUCCCUGGAGAGCGCGUGGGACUUAACACGUCUCCGAGGUGUGGUCUGUGGCUCUGUGCACACUCCGGGGUGCACCGCAGCUUCCGUUUCUGAAAAUGCAUCUACAGCAAAGAUGCCAUCUCAUGUCUUUGAUGUGAGAGCUGCAAUCUGACCUUGACUGCUUGCUGCAGAACCAGGCUGCAGGAGGCAGUGCGGUGCCUCCUGAGCGUGGCUGCUCUGCCCUCCGCUGUCCCCUCACUCUUUCCCUGCCUUUCUUCUGCGUGAGGAUGCUCAGUGGAGGGGCUGUGGGAGCCUGGAACUGAUUCAACCCUUAACAGAGCUAAUAGUGCUGAAGUGGUUUGGCUGCUAUCGUGAACUGGAGGAGUUCUCAGGAGCAUUUCUCUCCCACCCUCUGUCUGGAAGCGAGCAGUGAUCCUCUCCCUCCUCCCCCUUACGCUGAGCUCUGCUCCCAUCCCUCUUGCUCCCUGGCUUCAGCUAUUCAGUAGCUGGUGGGUGAAGCUGUAGCUUCCAGGAGCUGAGGGUUCAAAUCCAAUAAAGGUCUUGUAGUGAAGUGAA